rnacentral:rRNA from 1 species
CCUCCUCGCCGGAAGACCAAGGGUUCCUGUCCAACGUUAAUCGGGGCAGGGUGAGUCGACCCCUAAGGUGAGGCCGAAAGGCGUAAUCGAUGGGAAACGGGUUAAUAUUCCCGUACUUCUGACUAUUGCGAUGGGGGGACGGAGAAGGCUAGGUGGGCCAGGCGACGGUUGUCCUGGUUCAAGUGCGUAGGCUUGAGAGUUAGGUAAAUCCGGCUCUCUCUAAGGCUGAGACACGACGUCGAGCUACUACGGUAGUGAAGUCAUUGAUGCCAUGCUUCCAGGAAAAGCCUCUAAGCUUCAGAUAGUCAGGAAUCGUACCCCAAACCGACACAGGUGGUCGGGUAGAGAAUACCAAGGCGCUUGAGAGAACUCGGGUGAAGGAACUAGGCAAAAUGGUACCGUAACUUCGGGAGAAGGUACGCUCUUGAUGGUGAAGUCCCUCGCGGAUGGAGCUGACGAGAGU